GACUAACGCUGGCGGCGUGCCUAAUACAUGCAAGUCGAACGGGAUUCUUUGAUCAGCUUGCUGAGAGAAGGAUCUAGUGGCGGACGGGUGAGUAACGCGUGGGAAUCUGCCUCUUACUGGGGGAUAACAGUGGGAAACUACUGCUAAUACCGCAUAAGAUCUUCGGAUGAAAGGUGCAACUGCACCGGUAAGAGAUGAGCCCGCGUCCCAUUAGCUAGUUGGUGAGGUAAAGGCUCACCAAGGCGACGAUGGGUAGCCGGCCUGAGAGGGUGAACGGCCACACUGGGACUGAGACACGGCCCAGACUCCUACGGGAGGCAGCAGUAGGGAAUCUUAGGCAAUGGACGAAAGUCUGACCUAGCGACGCCGCGUGAGGGAAGAAGGCCUUCGGUUGUAAACCUCUGUCAGUGGGGAAGAAGUAAGUGACGGUACCCAAGAGGAAGCCCCUGCUAACUACGUGCCAGCAGCCGCGGUAAACGAGUAGUACA
rnacentral:rRNA from 1 species